UCGGUGCGUUUCUGAUCGUUUUCGCAAAAAAGUUUUAUUUCUUUAUCAAAUAAUUAUAUUAAUUCGUUUAUAAGUAUUUUCGCGAGUGAUAUACAGACAUAUAUUUUAGCAAUUCAUAAGUGUUGAAGUUAAAUAACAAUGAGUUCAUGUCAUUUUUUGCAAAAUGCGUCUUGAUCAAAUUCGGCGUCGUCGGCCUUGUCGUUGGAAUUUUAGUGUUUUCGGUAUUUUCGUAUUCGCGAGUGAUCUGUAUUAAAAAGUGAAGUUAGAGCGCGGUUAUAGUCGGUAAAAUAUGAAUUCUUCGUCUUCUCGGGUCUUGUUCUUUGGUUUUCAUUACAACUUAAAACGAUCCGCUCCAAUAAGAAUACGAUUCAAAUCGGCCGAUUCAAAUGCCAAUCAGAGUUGUAAAUACGAUUUAACAAAGAAAUGUUUUCUCCGGGAACAAUUGUCAUUUGGAACAACAUCAACAAUUCUCAUACUCUCUUCACACUCUGUUGUAGCCGUCAUCCCUUGUUCUCCAAGAACAAGUGUCCUUUCAAUCAACACCCACACGAUGCACAAGGAAACCACAAAUUGGAAAACAAACAAACAAAAAACUGAAAAUGUUAAGAAAAUUAGCGAUUUUUCUUUUGAUGGUUGUUUUCCAGCAACUCUCUAAAACCCAACUGGAUUUCACUGCGUCACCAUCGC